rnacentral:rRNA from 1 species
GACGAACGCUGGCGGCGUGCCUAAUACAUGCAAGUAGAACGCUGAAGAGAGGAGCUUACUCUUCUUGGAUGAGUUGCGAACGGGUGAGUAACGCGUAGGUAACCUGCCUUGUAGCGGGGGAUAACUAUUGGAAACGAUAGCUAAUACCGCAUAACAAUGGAUGACACAUGUCAUUUAUUUGAAAGGGGCAAUUGCUCCACUACAAGAUGGACCUGCGUUGUAUUAGCUAGUAGGUGAGGUAAUGGCUCACCUAGGCGACGAUACAUAGCCGACCUGAGAGGGUGAUCGGCCACACUGGGACUGAGACACGGCCCAGACUCCUACGGGAGGCAGCAGUAGGGAAUCUUCGGCAAUGGGGGCAACCCUGACCGAGCAACGCCGCGUGAGUGAAGAAGGUUUUCGGAUCGUAAAGCUCUGUUGUAAGUCAAGAACGGGUGUGAGAGUGGAAAGUUCACACUGUGACGGUAGCUUACCAGGAAGGGACGGCUAACUACGUG